UACGGGGGGGCGAAGCGUUGUUCGGAGUUACUGGGCGUAAAGGGUGCGUAGGCGGCUAUUUAAGUUUGGUGUGAAAUCUCCCGGCUCAACCGGGAGGGUGCGCCGAAUACUGAGUGGCUAGAGUGCGGGAGAGGAAGUGGAAUUCCUGGUGUAGCGGUGAAUGCGUAGAUAUCAGGAGGAACACCCGUGGCGAAGGCGGCUCUCUGGACGGUACUGACGCUGAGACGCGAAAGCGUGGGAGCGAACAGG
rnacentral:rRNA from 1 species